AUUGAACGCUGGCGGCAGGCCUAACACAUGCAAGUCGAGCGAGUGGCGGACGGGUGAGUAAUGUAUGGGGAACUGCCCGAUAGAGGGGGAUAACUACUGGAAACGUUGGCUCAUACCGCAUCCCAUCGGAUGUACCCAUAUGGGAUUAGCUAGUAGGUGGGGUAAAGGCUCACCAAGGCGACUAUCCCUAGCUUGUCUGAGAGGAUGAUAAGCCAAACUGGAACUGAGACACGGCCCAGACUCCUACGGGAGGCAGCAGUGGGGAAUAUUGCACAAUGGGCGCAAGCCUGAUGCAGCCAUGCCGCGUGUAUGAAGAAGGCCUUAGGGUUGUAAAGUACUUUCAGCGGGGAGGCGUUACCCGCAGAAGAAGCACCGGCUAACUCCGUGCCAGCAGCCGCGGUAAUUC
rnacentral:rRNA from 1 species